UCUGAUUGUGUGCAGCUCCAGAAGAGAGAGAAAUCUCAAUAAACUAUGACUCCCCAGUCCAUUACUCUACACUUCCAGCUGCUUCUAUGUGACUUAGGAAGUGUUCUAACAGAAAUUAUAUUGAAAGGGACAAAGUAGGUCAAUGAUGGCUAACCUCUUGCUUGCGGAUCCUCAAGAAAAUUGUAGUUCAGGAAAAUGGAGCACCAGAGAUUAAACACCAGCAGUCUACAGGCAGCAGUGUGU